rnacentral:lncRNA from 1 species
GGGAGUUAACAUGGCCGUGGCUACACCAGUAUUCUAUUACUCUGUAGCAACAGUCAAAGGCCGUAUAAACACGCAAUUCGUUCCGUAAAUGUCAUGUCGUUGAUCGUUAUUUUGCUACGGCUGCAAGUCCCCUGAAAGACGUGUUUUUUUUUUCGGCAAUUAUUGUUAGUUUUUACAUUCGACCAGAUACGACUUACGAAUCUGCUUCAUGAUCUAUCUAUCGCAUUCGUUAUACAUAUAUUUAUUUUCAUCGUUGAUACGAUCAGCCAACUCCUCAACUGCAGCUAUUUCUGCAGAACUAAGUUUAUGAAGGGAAAUCACUUAAUCACUUUCAUUAGUUGGAGGGCAAUGUUAACAAGUCAGAAAUUUCAAAUUUUGUCCUUUUAGUUACAGUAGAGUGUGUGCAUAAGGUAUGAAAGCUAUCCAUGUCACGAGAUACACAAACAAAUGGAGGGUCUAAAAUUGCUGUUUGAGGAAAUGUUGAUGGUACUAGAUAUUUGUAUACCCCGGAACAGAAUGUCAAUCCUAACCAAGAAGAUUGAGCUGUCCAGAAUCAUGGGAGCCAAACAACCAAUAAAAUAGCUCACAUUUCACUUUUGAGCAGAAGAAUUCAGUUUCCAUACCAAUCGGUCUAACAUAACCACAGUUUUCAGUUCACAAGCUGCUUGACCUUUUCAAAAGAAAUUAAGGCAUUAUUAACAUUAGAUUGUUUAUUUCCAGGAUUCAACAAACUGUUAUAUUUUUAUAACAAUUAAUGUAACCAUAGCAGUGAACCUGGUAUGGCCAAAAUGAUAUGCAGCAACUUAGAGCGGAUCAAAAUAAUCUAAAGUCAAAUAUAGAAUUUUUGUGCUGCUGGAUCACCCCUAUUUUGCCCUUUGUUGAAGUAUAAUGCCAGUGACAUACUUUUUCAAACAAAGGGCGAGAUUGAAUUUGCCAAGCAGUUCGUCUGCUUUUGGAAAUAGUUAACUGCUUCAGGAGUCGCGUUGAUGUAACUGAGAAUUGAUAAAAGAAAAUUGGUUUUUAUAAUUUUAAAUGACAGCCUUGCUUUUAUCGUCUAUGACGUCAUUUUCGAUAUAGGUAUGUUUUGGAGUGUAGCCAUCGAAUUUGUAGUUUCAAUCAGGUUGACAGGAAGUCGUGUAAAACAGCAGAACAGAGGUGUCUGAAUACAGUCGAGUGAGCUCUUCUCCGACACGGCAGAAAUAGCAUAGCAUUUGCCAUCAUCUGCAAUUUACAUUGUCCAUCAGCUUAUAGCUAUGGCUAACUACAGCAUCAAGCUGCUGUUGGCUAUUAUCUCUUUUGAUUGUUGAUAUGACCCCGGAGGGCUCGUCUACCUCCGAGUAUUAUACAACAUCUGCGCCCAAUUACAUCACGACGGACACUGCCCCCAUAUACUUCUCGAUCAAGGUAUCAGAGUACUGCACAACGAAAACUACGAGCAUUACUUGAUCAAAUCGCCGCAAUACUGCACAACGAAAACACAAGAAUUACCCGAUCAAAUCGCCGAAGUACUCAACAGCCAAAUCUGUAUCUCCAAAAUACUACACCAGGAAGCACCUGAAUACAACACCAACACGUAUGCCACUCCCAGCUACUACACUGAAGCUUCAAAAUACUAAUUGGAUACAAGUUAACAUGGGGAAGCUCAGGUUUACCACACUUUUUAAUAUAUGUCUCACCGAGCUAUGCUACCAAGGCAUCGGAGUACUAUCCGACUAUACCUGAGCAUUGCACAGGGACUUCUGUUACAUUCAUCUAUUAUACCGAAGCUUCGAAAUAACACUCUGCCCCGAGCUACUGCACCGCUGCUGCCCUAUUUAUUACGUCGAGCCUAACCACGAACGAUAACUUAUGCCGCGCGCGCCGCCGCUUACUACACUGAAGUUCUCAGGUGCCGUUCGGCUGCAGGCUACUUUGCUGAGUCUUCAUUUUACUAUACUACCACGUAUGCCACGCGUAGCUCUUAUAUUAAGGCCCCAAAAUACUACACCACAAAUGGUGCCGAGUACUACACCCCAGCUCUGGAAUACUACACCUCCAAAAGGUGGAAUAUCAUACUACAACCAAAAUUCCUAAAUUUCCUAAUGGUUAUGUGACAUAUGCCAUUAUGACCCGCACUUCUAAAGCUUGAAUGGUUUUAGGUCUAUCCCUUAUGAUGCUUGGCGAAUAAAAUUUCGGUCAAGUUCUGUGACACAAAAUUCAUUGUUGUGAAAAGAAAGGCUUACUGAUCACUUCUUAUUCAUCAACUUGGAAUUGAUUAAGUGAAUGAUGUAGUAUCCUCAUUUAUACCCAAUAUCAUCCGUAUUUUUAUUUAUGUGUAUUUCAUUGUUAAAUUUUCCAUAUUUGAAUCCAUACAGUUUCCCGAUAGGGAUUCUGUCUAGAAUCUAGAUGAGGUCAUUAGUACAUCACCGACCCCGAUUUUUACAAUUUUUCUUUCAAUAGAUGGCGUUAGCUGUAACAGGGAUGUAACACAGGUUUGAGGGUAGUUCAAAUAUGUACGUUUGUGGAUUUUUGUGCUGCUACUCCCGUACUAGUGCUUUUGUAAAGCUGACAUAACGAUAGAGUGGAUGGACACGUUUUUGCGAUUUUUAGGUUCUUAGUUACGAAGGAGAAGCAAUGAAAUCCAAUUUUAGGCUUGUUUCGUCGCUAGAUGGCGUUUUAAUUGCCCCAAGCCUAGUUACCAUAGUAACCAUGGUGACAGCUAUGAGAGAAUAAUGAGUUUGUAUCUACUUAUUUCUACUUUCGAAGGAUUUUUCAACUCAGGUAUAUGAGACACUGAAUCAGAGUAAUGAACUACUACUGUCUCUUUCUAUCGUGUCAUUUCUCACUGACGAAGUUUCAUCUCGCUCCAGCCAAACAUCGCACCAAAUGGCAUGCCUCUUUUACUUGAGUUCCUCAUGAAUUCAAGUCCACAAGGAAUGCCUCCGCAACAGCAAGAUCAACGAAACCAUCAUCAAACUCAACUGCUAAUCUUCAUCUACUUUGUAUUGUAAACUAUCUACUACUAGUUUCUUACAGAUCCAGUAUUUGAAGUUUCUACACUUAGCCAACCAUCAACAACCAUGAAUCUAGUCUUCACAGCUUCCCUUCUUUGCCAGCAAUCAUCAAUUAACUUCAGCAUCAUAGCAUGAAAUCAUCAUUUUCAUAUGCCAUCUCAAUCAUUUGCAGCCUUUACUGCUCUUCUUAGGCUGACAACAUGCAUACUGUUGUGCAAGCCUUUUAUUAUACUUUUCAUGCCAUCGCCUCAUUAUGAACUGUCAAGUUUUAUUUGCAUUUACGUUAAAAAAACGCCGCCCAGUAGUUAUCAUGCCUCCUUAUGGGAUUAAAAACAUAAUGCCCACUGCCGAGUGAAAGAGGGCAUCUCGUAACCUUUGCGGAUCCAAAACAGCUGACGGUGAUGGCAUUCGGUGCAACGUGGAACUUCUCGUCUGUUUUGGUAUUGUUUUGGGUGUGUGUUGUUUGUGUGAGUUAACCCGUUGGCUGCCACCCAUUUUGCUCCCAUUUUUUUUUUAGCUGUAGGGACCGCGCGCACUGCUCUGCCCUAUGGGGUAGGGCAGUGCUCCGCCGCAAGGCGGUUAGGCAAUGCACCAGUAGGGACUUCUCCUUGUUCGAUGCGGUGAUGGUUUCCUGAGGGUGUGCAUUCCCUGUAAAGGUUUCCAUCGCCGUGUCACCCCGGACUUGUCUUCGGACAAGUCCCACCAGAUCGUGGAUCCUUCUGACGACGAUGCGUAGAUUGUAGAAAACAACCUACGGGUUGAAUGGCCUGGCAGCCAACGGGUUAACUCAGUGUAUGUGUGUUUGUAUUGUAAUGUACUGUAUUUUAUUGUAUAACUAUGUAAUUGGAAACAGUGGUGGAAUUGUGGGACGGAGGUGGGACAAUAAAUGAAAUUCCAUUUA